UUCAUCUGGAACAAUUAAAAUGUCUGUGUUAGAAUUCACCGAAAGCAAAGAUCACAAAGACCGCGUUUCACAUGUUAAACGUUGAUGGUUUAUUUUAUCACCACAUUGUUUCAGUUUACCAUGUCGCAUUGUUUAAACAAUCGUACGUUCAGGCAUUUACCCAUGAGCGGGAAGAUUGUUUGUCGUCUGAAGAAAUACAAACAAUUACACACGAAGUACUUGCAAUAUAAAAAGAUAAGCAUUAGAGUUGAAAGGCAAUGCGUUAUCUACUUUGGAAAUUUUUGUCACGCCAAGUUACAUCAAGCCAUAAAGAUAAAUAAAGACGAUUAGGAUAUAAUUAUUUUAAUAUAAAAAUGAUGCAGUCUUCACCGCGAGUACUAACAUCCGGCAGCGGUGGCUAAACUAUCGUAAUGCGCAAGGGAUUCUGAUGAUUUCACACAAUUAAUGAUCGCUGCAUUAAACCAAGUGUAUUAUUACUACAUAUCUCUAAAAGCACAGAUACUGUUAUUUCGCGCAUCUGGAAGUUAUAAAUCUUAGACGGUUAAUUAGCAAUAAAUCCAGUCGAUUUGUACUCGAACUAUAAACGGACACAUAAUGCAGGUAAAAUGAACACAUGUAAUCGUACUUUUAAUUGCUCCUGAUCAUGUGAAUAAUAAUGAUAAAAACCUUCGGUUGUAAGUUUUAUCGUACAACAAUGUUGAAUAAAUAUAACGUUCCAGUGAACACGAAAAUAUUCCCAGGGUAUAUUCUAAAAUCAAUAAUAUUUGUCUGGCUGCCCUUGGAAUGCUGGAACACCGCCUCCCAUCCCACACCAAUAUGCAUGACAUUGUACACGCGCAUUGUAGCGCAUAUAGUUUUAACCGAUGCAGCAACCUUUUACGUGUUUCAACAAGUUUUCUCUCCGAUCCAUCCAUUGAUCUGCCAGCAAAUUAAUUCUGGUUGUAGGCAUUCAUCAGUACACGAAUGGAACAACAGCGAAAACGUACAGUAUAUAUUUGCUCGUAUCAGAUGUGCAUAAAUGCAUUGAUUUAUUUGUGCAAUGUCAGCUUGAGCUGAUGCGGAAAGCUCAAGUUUACAAAAUCAUAAGCGCACACCGCAUCAUCCAAUCCGUAGACGUAUAAUUAUAAGCUUUAAAUGUUAAUGGAAAUGCCAUAGCCAUAACAUCUAGAAACGAUGAACUUGCCUAGUGCAAUGAUUGUGCAUUUUGUAUGUACAGAUAUUUCCUUGUGAACGUUGAAAUGUUCAUUGUGCAAAUAAUACUGCUACAACUCUAACUGUAACUAAAGAAUAAAACAUAUAGGAAAUACUAGCAAAAGAAAUGUAUAAGUGUAAUUUAAAAAGAUACGAUUUAUAGGCACGAUAACAAGGCACUAAUAUUAAUCAACCAAAUGUUGAUCACAUUAUUCAUUUCUUGGAAUGAAACACACCUUCCUCUAAAAACAAGUCAAUUUCCGGCCGAGAAGCCGUUGCAAAUCAACUGUUACAUAUAAAAUCUCGCUCCGGAUGUGGAUGUGGUGAUUUUAAGACACUGUGAAUAAUUUAAAAUAAUAGAGCUACACAACGAAAAAGAUUUCCAUCUCUUGACAUUCAAUGGGAAUGUAUAGCAAGGACGCGGAUAUAUUUUUAACAAUAUCAUUAAUCAUGUAUAAGGCUGAAUACAUAAAAUUUACUAUUAGUAAAAUUAAAGUUUACGUCGGUGUAA